rnacentral:rRNA from 1 species
UACAGAGGUCCCAAGCGUUGUUCGGAUUCAUUGGGCGUAAAGGGUGCGUAGGCGGCGCGGUAAGUCGGGUGUGAAAUCUCGGGGCUUAACUCCGAAACUGCAUUCGAUACUGCCGUGCUUGAGGACUGGAGAGGGGACUGGAAUUUACGGUGUAGCGGUGAAAUGCGUAGAUAUCGUAAGGAAGACCAGUGGCGAAGGCGGGUCUCUGGACAGUUCCUGACGCUGAGGCACGAAGGUCAGGGGAGCAAACGGG